UGCGCAGGCGGUUGAGUAAGACAGAUGUGAAAUCCCCGAGCUUAACUCGGGAAUGGCAUAUGUGACUGCUCGACUAGAGUGUGUCAGAGGGAGGUGGAAUUCCACGUGUAGCAGUGAAAUGCGUAGAUAUGUGGAAGAACACCGAUGGCGAAGGCAGCCUCCUGGGACAUAACUGAGCUCAGGCACGAAAGCGUGGGGAGCAAACA
rnacentral:rRNA from 1 species